GGCGUUGUAGCAAAGUGGUUACUGCGAUUGACUAGAAAUCAAUUCCCUUCGGGGGCGUAGGUUCGAAUCCGUAUGUUCGACGCUG
rnacentral:tRNA from 1 species